UACAGAGGUCUCAAGCGUUGUUCGGAAUCACUGGGCGUAAAGCGUGCGUAGGCUGUUUCGUAAGUCGUGUGUGAAAGGCGCGGGCUCAACCCGCGGACGGCACAUGAUACUGCGAGACUAGAGUAAUGGAGGGGGAACCGGAAUUCUCGGUGUAGCAGUGAAAUGCGUAGAUAUAUGGAAGAACACCGGUGGCGAAGGCGGCUUGCUGGGCCUGUACUGACAUUGAGGCACGAAAGCGUGGGGAGCAAACAGG
rnacentral:rRNA from 1 species